CCUACGGGGGGCUGCAGUAAGGAAUAUUGCGCAAUGGGCGAAAGCCUGACGCAGCGACGCCGCGUGGGGGAUGAAGGUCUUCGGAUUGUAAACCCCUUUCGGGAGGGAAGAUGGAGCGAGCAAUCGUUCGGACGGUACCUCCAGAAGCAGCCACGGCCAACUUCGUGCCAGCAGCCGCGGUAAUACGAAGGUGGCAAGCGUUGUUCGGAUUCACUGGGCGUACAGGGUGUGUAGGCGGUUUGGUAAGCCUUCUGUUAAAGCUUCGGGCCCAACCCGGAAAGCGCAGAGGGUACUGCCAGGCUAGAGGGUGGGAGAGGAGCGCGGAAUUCCCGGUGUAGCGGUGAAAUGCGUAGAGAUCGGGAGGAAGGCCGGUGGCGAAGGCGGCGCUCUGGAACAUACCUGACGCUGAGGCACGAAAGCGUGGGGAGCAAACAGGAUUAGAUACCCCAGUAGUC
rnacentral:rRNA from 1 species